rnacentral:rRNA from 1 species
CCUUGCCAGCCCGCUCAGAACUUAAGGAAUUGACGGGGCCGCACAAGCGGAGGAGCAUGUGGUUUAAUUCGAUGAUACGCGAGGAACCGUUACCUGGGCUCGAACGUAAGAUGACUGUAGGUGAAAGCUUACAUCUCUUCGGAGCAUUUUACGAGGUGCUGCAUGGUUGUCGUCAGCUCGUGCCGUGAGGUGUCGGGUUAAGUCCCAUAACGAGCGCAACCCUACCUUUAGUUGCCAUCAGGUAAUGCUGGGGACUCUAAAGGAACUGCCUACGCAAGUAGUGAGGAAGGCGGGGAUGACGUCAAAUCAGCACGGCCCUUACGUCCAGGGCUACACACGUGCUACAAUGGCCGAUACAGAGGGCAGCUACCUGGUGACAGGAUGCAAAUCUCCAAAGUCGGUCUCAGUUCGGAUCGGAGUCUGCAACCCGACUCCGUGAAGUUGGAUUCGCUAGUAAUCGCGCAUCAGCCAUGGCGCGGUGAAUACGUUCCCGGGCCUU